rnacentral:lncRNA from 1 species
AGGUACAAAAGAUUUUUGUCUCUUUUUUUUAUCAUAAAUGAAUUUGUGGUAUUAAUGAUCCAUCAAUGGAAAAAAUGCCGUUAACAUGAUCCUACAACAAAAACGGACAAAUCGCCCUAACAGUGGGUAAUGUAUGGGUAGAAAUUUGUAUUUAUAGCGAGCGUGUGCGUCACCUGCACCUUCUAACAAAACAAUAACCAGCUAGACUCAUUAGGAUUGUGCGGCAUUAGGUCAAGAUAUCUACAAGUUAUGUAACAUUACUCUCCCCUCCCGCUAGCCAAUCUACGCCCUCUUUAGCAUCCGUUUCAAACAUCACAUUUUCAUGGCAUGAAUUCAGCACCCACCUUUGAGCGCGAACCUCAAUUUCCAUCCAUCCGAGCGCUGCUCCUAUCACAUGUCGUUCGGAUCCAAGUACCUCCCCCGCCUUAUCCCGCACACACAUUCCCGCUUCCCUACGCGCCGGAUUCACAAACACCACUAUGUAGACACUAUAUUUCGCCUUGCAUAUCUUGAGCAACAAGCCAUUCUGUCUCAUCUAUAAAAUAAUUAACAAGAAAUUAUAUAAACAUUUUCAAAAUACAGUAAACAAAAAUUCUCAACGCAAUGUGUUUGAUUCACCAGUGCUUUGUAAUUCGUCUUGAUCGCAGAUAAAAACGAUAGAAGCAGUGGUUGAAGAGACCGAUAUAGCCAAAGGCAUCAUCCAUUACUGCGUAGCAAAUGCGGUGGAGGC